rnacentral:rRNA from 1 species
CUACGGGCGGCUCCAGUGGGGAAUAUUGCACAAUGGGGGGAACCCUGAUGCAGCAACGCCGCGUGGAGGAUGACGCAUUUCGGUGUGUAAACUCCUUUUAUAUGUCAAGAAAAUGACGGUAGCAUAUGAAUAAGCGCCGGCUAACUCCGUGCCAGCAGCCGCGGUAAUACGGAGGGCGCAAGCGUUACUCGGAAUCACUGGGCGUAAAGGACGCGUAGGCGGGUUGAAAAGUCAGGUGUGAAAGCCUACAGCUUAACUGUAGAACUGCACUUGAAACUCUCAAUCUAGAGUAUGGGAGGGGCAGAUGGAAUUAGUGGUGUAGGGGUAAAAUCCGUAGAUAUCACUAGGAAUACCUAAAGCGAAGGCGAUCUGCUGGAACAUUACUGACGCUAAGGCGUGAAAGCGUGGGGAGCAAACAGGAUUAGAUACCCCGGUAGUC